UGGUGGGUAGUUUGACUGGGGCGGUCUCCUCCUAAAGAGUAACGGAGGAGCACGAAGGUUGGCUAAUCCUGGUCGGACAUCAGGAGGUUAGUGCAAUGGCAUAAGCCAGCUUGACUGCGAGCGUGACGGCGCGAGCAGGUGCGAAAGCAGGUCAUAGUGAUCCGGUGGUUCUGAAUGGAAGGGCCAUCGCUCAACGGAUAAAAGGUACUCCGGGGAUAACAGGCUGAUACCGCCCAAGAGUUCAUAUCGACGGCGGUGUUUGGCACCUCGAUGUCGGCUCAUCACAUCCUGGGGCUGAAGUAGGUCCCAAGGGUAUGGCUGUUCGCCAUUUAAAGUGGUACGCGAGCUGGGUUUAGAACGUCGUGAGACAGUUCGGUCCCUAUCUGCCGUGGGCGCUGGAGAACUGAGGGGGGCUGCUCCUAGUACGAGAGGACCGGAGUGGACGCAUCACUGGUGUUCGGGUUGUCAUGCCAAUGGCACUGCCCGGUAGCUAAAUGCGGAAGAGAUAAGUGCUGAAAGCAUCUAAGCACGAAACUUGCCCCGAGAUGAGUUCUCCCUGACUCCUUGAGAGUCCUGAAGGAACGUUGAAGACGACGACGUUGAUAGGCCG
rnacentral:rRNA from 1 species